UUUUCCGGUGUUUACAAAUUCCACCAAAGCUGUUUGUGGCACAAAAUGGGUAUCCUCUUUAUGCACCGUGAAACAUAGGUUCAGUUGUUCGAUUUCAUAGCGCAUUUGGACGAACAAAGAAACAUCGUCAUCACCACAAACAUCUACCGACGGUGCAUCUUUGCCAUCAUCCAUGAGCAUAUACGAGGGCAACUGGAAUGUCAGAGCUACCCCUGCAUCUUCACUUAACUGGUACUUCUCUCUCACGAUUUUCAAAACCUCCUUAUAUGUCAUCCUAGAAGUUAAGAAAGCACCUUGGCUGUGAUCUGUUUUGUCUGUCAUGAAAGCCCAAACACCCGGAGUAUCUUCAAACCAUCUACCCUUGACAAGCAGAAAGAUUUGUUUUCCAACCAUCUGUAUGAGAAAUUACAAAGUUAGACACAUAUAACUUCUUUGACUACAAUAGAAAAAUCCUUGAAGGUAGCUGGAAUUAUAACGUUCAAAAUUUGUAAAUAGAAAUUAUCAAAUUGGCUUAUCUUUAAUAACAGAAAAAUCGAAUGAUAUUUGAGUACUAAACCGAAAAUUUGUUGCUCUGGAAGUACUAAAUUGAUAUAAGACUCGGUGAGAGGCUUAUAUGAUUGGGGAUCAAUGGCUUGGGGGGAUCAACACGCUGGCUUUCACGCUCUCUCGUGGGGAUCAGUGGAUGGAGAUUGUAAGACAAGUCUCAUUUACACAAGGCUUGAAUCGAUACGGGAUCUGUCAAGCUGGCUUUAUCGCUCUCUCUUGAGAGAUCAAAGAAUGGUUGUGAAGUGGAUCGAAGGCACCACAGAGAUUAUUUUGGGAUCUCUGAUACUGCAAACUUGCCCCUUGGUGAAUCAAACAUGCAAGAACACAAGCAAAGUCUCUCAAGCACAAGCUAAGAGGAAAAACGGCGUUAUUUUAUUGAUAAGGUGAAAAAAAGGUGAGUACAACAGCUGCGUGUGGGACUUUAUAAAUAUUCCAUCAGCUUUGAACCUUCUAGGGUUUGACACUUAACAAGAAAAACGACACUAAAGACUAAAAAAAACAGGACUUGUGAAAGAAAUAAAACAAAAAUGGCAAAGCGUCUCAUUUGGACACAAAAAUGGAAAGUUCACUUAAAAAUAAAAAAGAAAAGAACUAGCUAUGCGCAACCUUUUCUGGACUUGUUCCGUGGACCUCUGAUGCUCUCUAGUGUGUUAGACACCAUUAGGAUACUUCCAUGUUACCUGCAAAGAUCGUAUAAACUGAAAAUACUUGAUUAAGGGCGAUUGUGGACUUGCUUGUUGUGUGGUUGAUUAAGUCGCGUUCUGGCCCAUGUUGCUCGUUAGUCUUGAUGUUUCCUUCGUCUAGAGUCCUGCUAACGUCGUGUCAUAUGAGUUCUUCAAGUAUCUUCUCGUGUCCUGCUUCAUGUCCUUCUUCUUGUCUCAUUUGCCUGCUAUCGGCUUCGUGUCUUGAAACGGUUGUAUCUUGCAGGUCCGAGGCAGUCUCUUCGGAAUUCUUGGUGUUCCGUGCUCCAUUUCCUGCCAAGUAAACAUGUAUACCUUGUUCUAGUUGAGGCUUGCUCUCUUUGAGCCUCAAACGCGCGAAGCCCUCCAUUAUGCUAAAUCGGGUCCUUUGGGGCUGUCUUGCGUGUAAUGCUCUUGAGAAACGGUUUUGAAUGCACCUUCAAGCUCCAUGGUGCUUAGUAAUGAUUCUAUGGCCAAAUUGAACCCUUCUCUAAACCUCCUAGCUUUGGAACGGAUCAUUGGUGCUUUGAGCUUGGGAACGAUCGUUUGAUUUGGUGUUGGUUCGAUGACCUAAUCAUAAAUGGAUCAAAAUAAAUUUUUAAACAAAAGGUAUGAAGUGAAUGAGUUUAGUAAAUAGUUUUCAAGAGUGUUUACACAAGAAAAAGAACAAAGAAUUGCUAAGUAUUUAUAGUAGAGCAAGUUGCAGUUGAAAUUCAUUUUUUAACUUCAUUGCCCUUAUUUUUGCUUUAUAAUCCGAGUUCGUGUUUAAUGUUGUCAUUUACUCCGCUUGCUUUGCAAUGAAAAGUCUCUAAUUUGAAGGUAUGACUAUUACGUUCAGGUGCCUUAAAUCACUUGUUCAAACGAAUCUUUGGACAUGGCAGGGUUGAUUUGACAGAUUUGGAUUUAUUCUUCUUUUAAGUCUAAACUCACUCCACCGUGUCUUUCAGCUCAGCUCUCUAGUGCAUUUAUGUAUUUCACUUCUUCGACCUUUUUACUUUUUUACCAUUUGUAUACUGGAUCUGUUUUACUGGGCUGAGAUUUUCACUUCCCUCCCAAUUCCUUCCAUUCAUUAGAGGUUAAACCCCUUUUAAAGGAAUUUCACUCCGUAAUCAUCUUCUACAAGUGAAUAUAUUGUCUUGACGAUUCACUUCUCUUACUUGCUCUCUUCCUUUGACCUUUUUUCGUUCAUUUACUUUGCUGAUGGACUCCCAGAUUUGUUCAGUUUUUUUCUUCUAUAUUUGGGCUGACUCCACCUUUAAACCGACUGAUGAGGACCUUGAUGCAUCUCGUCAGAAGUGUAAUAGAUGAAAUAUAAAUUGAUUCCCUGUACUGGGGAAUUUCUAGAGAAUAAUCUGCCAGGCUUCUGCAUCGCCUAAGAAAUGUACUUUACCACCUGAGGACUCUGAUUUCCUAUCUCAGAUAUCCCGGUUUGAUAUCUAGUCACUUCUCCUUGCUAAGUGUUGUUGCACAAUUCUUCCUCCUUUGGUGUAAACUACUACUUCCCCAGACUUAUAUUUUUUUCAGGAAUCGAUAGUUGAUAUUUCGGACUAAAAAUAAUCAAAGCAAGGAUUGCCCCAUAGACAAAAUCAAACCACUUAGACUCAAUAAGGUUUUUGUUUCUUUUCCCUUCUGAUUUUCUUUUUUUUAACAUUUUUUUUAAAGGAGAAACACCUUUUUGUUGAGAGAAAGUCUUAAGGGGCACGAAAAUAUACCAUGUUUUUGAAUUUUUUCUGAGGCAACCAAGUUUUCUUCCUUAUUGAAUCAAUCCCAUAAAUCGCAAAGUCUCCAUCUUCAGUGAUUGAAAACUGCGUCGUUCCUCUUUCUCUCCGGCGUUUUUGCACAUAUCUGCAUAUAAGACAACAAAAACAAGAAUGCAUGUGGUUUCAAAGAGGUAGGGUAAGGUGGAGAACUAGCUAAAGAUGAAUUAGUCAUUAGGAUCAACAAACAGUGGUAAAAAGAAUAAGAAGUUCUGAAUGUAUGAUCAUUCGUUUCCAUGAUCUUAUGUCUUCAAUGAGAAAAUGAAGUCAAUGUUUAGUCCAAAUAAAAUACAGAGUGUUUUUUUCCUCUAAAUCUAAGCAAUUGAAAUUCCUCUGGGGUACUUUACGUCAAAUGUGCCUGGUUACCGCCUAGUCUAAUCCUAAAUCACGAAUGAGCAUGUCAUUAGGGAAUAGCCUAAAAGCACACAAUCAACUAUCAUUGAUUCAUGUUCAUCAUUAUCUUAAAAACGUAUGUUGAUUUGAAAACAUUUUUUUAAUUGUUUAAAAUAAAACAAGAAAGAUGUGAAUAAUGUAAGACUCAUGAAGAAAGGUGGUUCGUAAGAGAUGAAAUCCUCCUCUACACUUAAAUCACACUGUCCCCAGUGUGAAAUAAAUUGAGUAAAUAGAGUAUGAAUGUAUGGAAAAGAUAAGAAAAAUAAAACUUACAUGGAUGCUCUAGGAAUGAUGCAGAGGAUGGUGAUGAUAUGAAUGUGUUGUGGUUGAUAGUGAUUGUAUGGUCAUAUGAUGGAUUGUGAAGGAGAUGAACAUCGAACCGGGAUGAAAAAGGAUGACACGGAUCGAGCAUGCAUUGAGCGCGGCCGGGCGAGUGGCGCUAGCGGUGCAUCAUGCUUCGGCCGUAGUCCAAAACACGAGACCAUAGUUGAUUCAUCUUGUACCACAUUCGGAUUGGGGGCCCCCACGGUGAAGAGGUCAGGUGUGAGAUAAGGCAGGCUGAUUGGAUUGGGCGAGAUGGGUGGCGAGUGAGGGUUGUGUCUCGACGGGUGGGAAAUGGUGGUUGAGUCAAGUUGGCGUGGUGGGUCAUGGCGAGAUGGGGGAUGAGUGAGGCAAGUUGGCGAUCGAGUCGAUGGGCGAGGUGAUGAUGGGCGGGUCGAGGCGGGAUGAAUGGGCAGGUCAAGGGGAGCGGCUUGGCGAGUUGGUGAGCGGCUUGGGCUCGAUAAUGAAGCUUACAAGGGUUUAAAAGGAAAGAGAAAGAGCUUGAGACAGCCAAGACUUGUCUUGAAAAUGAUCAAGCAAUAAAGACAAAUUUUGAACAAAGAAAGAACAAAAAACAAAACUUCUACACCCUUGACCGAGACUUCUUCUUGCUGGGCCUUGAUGGAUCAACAAAUGGGUGAUAUGAUGUGAUCCAUUUGCCUCAUUGAAAACCUCCUUUUGAAAAAGCCAUUCAAACAAAACCAAAAGAGAGGUAAAAAGAAUACAAAUGGAUCACAUGCCCAUUUUUCUAUUAUCUUGAGCCUAUAUAGAAACCAAUGAGGCUUGUAUAACAUCUUCUCCCUCCUUGCUCAAGAUAUCAUUUUGUCUCCAGAUGUGUUUAAGCAUAGGUCCGAGUGCUUCCUUGAAUUGCUUGGACUUAGAUCUGGUCAUUGGUCCAACUGGUAUAACUAGAGCAUCCGGUGCAACUGGUAUAACUAAUGCUUCAUCCUCUUCAGGCUCUUCUUGAUCAGCAAACUCAUCAUCUUCAGGCUCUUCUUGAGCACUUUUGUUUAAAGUCGUUUAGCUCGAUAUUGUUUCUGAGGUGAUCUUAGUCUUUCAAAGACAAUGUCUUGUGACAAGUCCUCUUUGCUUCUCUUUGUUCCUCCUUAUUUGGUUCUCCAUUACUCCAUUCCAAAACGGAUUUAGGAUUCUUUGGCUUGAAGUAUCUUUCUCUCAUAAUCUUGUACGAGACAGCGGUCUAGAAUUGAUGGGCCUCAGGAUCGCAGGUCUUUUGCAAUCCCAUUGAUCUGGAGUUUUAAAUUUAUAAAACCCUAAUGUCUAAAAGUGCACAAAUGUACGUUUUACGACAUAGGAUGUCAAUCCACAGGAAAAAUGUAUAAUCUGCAAGGAAACACCAAACUGGGAUAGUAAGCGAAGUCAUAAACUCAUGGGGCUUUGGGGUUUAGUACACGUCCUUGAUACCAAGACGUUUUGCAAUGGUUUUGGUAAUGAUGUUAAGACAAGUUCCAGAGUCACUAAGGACAUUAACGAGUUGAACUCCUCGAAUUCCACAAGUAAUGAAGAAUUGGCCUUGCUCUUGGAUCUUUUGGAGAUUACGAACUGGCUUUCUUUUCCUUGCUUGAGUGAAAAGAUCUUCUAUCUUUGUGGUGGACUCCUUGCUUUCACAGAAAAAUGACCAAUCAUAUAAUCCAUGCAAGCUUUAUAGAACGAGAUACCUUGAGGGAGAUCACAGACCACUCGGUUGAAUUUUCUAGCUUCUCAUUGCUGAUCUUGUUUGGAAGCCUUUGAUACUAAUUUGUUCGAAAGAGUCCGAUUGCACACGAAGUACCUUGAUGGCGAGUAUACUGCAUGGUCAAUCUUCUUGCUCUCAUGAAGUAGGUGUAGAUUUUUUCUUCUUGGUUCUCCUUACUGUUCCGAAAGAAAGGAUGUAUGGCUCCUUGCUUCCACACGUCCAUAAAGGGGAUGUAUAUCGGAAUGGUCUUUACUAAGUUUUUGAACUCAACUAACAUCUCUCGGGAGAUGUUCUACGUCUUGGGUUUCUCAAAAAUCUCAUUAUUUCUUCCGUACAAACUAGUAAGAGACUUAGGUGAAGGAGGAUCUUCGUGGACCUUAUACAUUGAAGUGAAGUCUGAUUCUCGAAACAUCAAGGUCGGUUCAUCCUCUUCUUCUCCAUCAGAAUACUGUUCUUUUACUUCAAAUCCUCUGAAACGAACCAUGUUGCAAUGUGCAUAGAUAGAUGGUUCAUCUUGAUCAUGAGAUACUUGGGUGCUGAUGGAGUAGAUAGCUUGCUCGAAGAGACGAGUUCUGGUAGCUACGGGGGAGACUUCAGAUGAGCAACAGGCUGUUUGAGCUGAAGGAGACGGAUCAGGUACGAACCAAGGUUUGACCACGGUUGGAGGAGCUGUGAGCAUGGUGAAGUGGCUUGGGCGGCAGUCGCAGUAGACACGACCGUGGUGAAUGGCUCAUUAGCCGCAGUUAGAGAAAGUGCGACCGCGGCCGGCUGUGUCCGAAGAUAAUCACUUGGAUCGCCUUUCUAUUCGUCUUCCAAGUAGUCUUCUGGGUUUAUAGGCUCAAUGUACUCUUCUUCUAGGUCAGGACCAUGGUUGAAAAAAUUUGGAUCUUGCUCUUCACGAUCUUGUAUUAUCUUCUUAACUUAUUUUCUAACUUCAUCAAGUGCAGAGACAACUUUGUCUAGGGUUAAGUCAAGUUCUUCGGUCUUGUCUAAAACUUUGUGUAUUCCUUCCAAACCUUGACAGUAAAGUUAUAAGACUCGUUUUUUGCUUCAUUGAGGGCAUCAACCAUGUCUUCAAGCUAGAAAUAAAGGGUUUGAAUCUCAUUUUAGCAUUGUGAAGCUCAGGAGUAUGCUUAGCUUUCUCCUCUUACAUGGUAUCAAACUCCUCGAUGAACAUGGCUGCGUCUUUAAGUGCAUGUUCCUCUAUGGACUUGACUUGGGCAGAGAGAUUGUCAAACUUCUUGUAAAACAAGGUUGACAUGCCAUCGAUUCUAUCAUGUAGAGCGGCUUUGGAACGGAUUGAACAUCGAUGAAUUGCUUGAUCGUGCCCUUUAAAAUCGUUAAUUCUAGACUUCCUUACCUAAUCUCUUUCAAAAGGUUUUGCAGAAAAGUACUUGCUUACCUGUGGAUUGAUACCCUAAGUACUACUACGCACUUGCAGAAGUCUGGAGUUUUAUGAAUUUAAAACAAGAAUUCAAGCAUCAGAAUCAACCCCUUCAUAGAUGACAUCAAGUUUUAGGUGCCGUUGCCGGGGAUGCAAUGUUUCCUCUUCAGCCAGACCCAAGAAGGCUGGAAGGUCGACUCUGGAACAUCUUUUUCUACUAAUUUUUAUUUUUGUUUUUCCGUGUUUCAGAUCUUUAAGCAAUGAAUUCGCCUAUGAACCGGGAGAAGUAAACGGGAGAAGGAAAAUUGCUUAAGAAAAUUGGUGUAGAAGCUAUGAAAAACGGGCCUUCUUUGGGGUAUGAUCAAUUCAAACAUGCUAAAGUAAAUAAAAAAAUCCUAGCUAAAACUUUUAAAACUCGAGCACGGUAAUAUGAAACUCUAAAGGAGAAACUCACCAAUGCACUACUCUUAUCUUUACCAAACUUUCUUAAAACUUUUGAGAUUGAGUGUGAUGCUUCUGGUGUAGGUAUUAGAUCUUUCUUGAUGCAGGAACAGAGGCCAAUAGCUUAUUUCAGUGAGAAGCUAGGAUGAACCACUCUGAAUUACCCGACUUAUGAGAGGGAGCUGUAUGCCUUGGUGAGAGCUUUGCAAACAUGGCAACAUUACUUGUGGUCCAUACGGAUCAUGAAUCACUUAAGCAUUUGAAAGGACAACAGAAACUCAAAAAAAAAGCAUGCUCGGUGGGUUGAAUUCAUUGAAACAUUUCCUUAUGUUAUCGAAUACAAACAAGGUAAGGAAAAUAUUGUUGCUGAUGCAUUAUCUCGAAUGUAUGUCUUGAUCUCUACUUUGGACGUCAAGUUGUUUGGUUUUGAACAACUUAAAGAAAUGUAUAAGACAGAUCCUGAGUUUGGAGAGAUCUAUAAGGCAUGUGAGAAGUUUGCUUCUGGGCAUUACUUUCGACAAGAAGAGUUCUAUGAAAAUCGUUUGUGUGUGCCUAAUUGCUCUCUUCGAGACUUAUUUGUUAGGGAAGCUCAUGGAGGAGACUUGAUAGGACAUUUUGGAGCUGCUAAGACACUGAAAGUGAUGCAAGAACACUUCUACUCGCCCCAGAUGAGGAGAGACGUGGAGAGAAUCUGUGGCAGGUGUGUCACUUGCAAACAAUCUAACUCAAAUGUCCAAACCCACGGUUUGUAUAAUACUUUACCGAUUCCUUCUCAGAGUGACAUCUUGAUGGAUUUUGUGCUUGGUUUGCCUAGAACUAGGACUGUAAAGGAUUCUAUCUUUGUUGUGGUAGAUAUGUACUGAUGAUGCAUUGCAAGUAGCAGAUUUGUUCUCUAAGGAGAUAGUUUGUUUGCAUGGAAUGCCAAGAAGAUAGUGUCAGAUAGAUAUACUAAGUUUCUAAGCUAUUUCUGGAAAACAUUGCGGUCUAAGUUAGGUACUAAGUUAUUGUUCUCAAAUACUUGUCACCCUCAAACUGAUGGACAAACAGAAAUGGUCAAUAGAACCUUGUGUACUCUCUUACGAGGAUUGAUUAAAAAGAACUUGAGAACUUGGGAGGAAUGUUUACCACAUGUCGAGUUUGCAUAUAACCAUUCAGUGCAUUACGCUUCUAAAUUUUCACCAUUUCAAAUAGUCUAUGGUUUUAAUCCGGCUUCUGCUUUGGAUCUAAUCCCUUUGCCUUUGAGUGAAAGAACAAUCAUAGAUGGGAAAAAGAAAGCUGAUCUUGUUAAGAAAAUCCAUGAGAAGGCCAGAAAGAACCUUGAGGAAACGACUAAGCUUUAUGACAAGCAAGCCACUAAAUGGAGAAAUAAGGUGACUUAUGAAGUUGGCGAUCAAGUGUGGAUUCAUUUGAGAAAAAAAAAAGAUUCCCGGCGGAAAGAAAAUCCAAGCUCAUGCCAAGAGUUUAUGGACCAUUCAAGAUAAUCAAGAAGAUCGGCGACAAUUCUUAUCAACUUGAUCUUUAAGGUAAGUAUAAUGUGAGCUCAAGUUUUAAUGUAUCUGAUUUAGUCACUUUUGUUGCAGAUAUUCCGGAUCUGAGGACAAAUCCUUUUCAAGAGGAGGAGGAUGAUAUGAUAAUGGGUAGGAACAAAGUCUUGGAGCUUGAAUCAGAGUUUGUGCCAGAGCUUGAACCAGUGGACAAAGGACUUGAAGAUGUUGAGCCACUUCAUGUGUCACAUGGACCAAUGACCCGAGCCAGAACUAAGAGAUUCAAGAAGUCAAUUGGAAUUUUACUUAGUCAUAUUGGAGAUCGACUAAAGUACUUGGGUCAGGACGGAGAAGAUGAAUUACAAGCUACCUUGAUUUUGAUUCAGGUCUAAGACUGAUCAACAAAUGGACAAGUGACCUAUUUGUGCUCAUUUUCUUUUACCUUUAUCUUUUGUCCCAAUGGAUUUUCCAAAAGAAGGUUUAUAAUGAGGCAAUGGAGUUCAAUUUCACACAAGCCCAUUUUGUUGAUCCAAAGACUUAAGGCCAGCAACAAUUUCGACCAAGAAGGUUUAGGCAGAAAAGGAGUCUAAGAGUCAUUCAAACUUUGUGUUUAAUUCUCUUUAAGUUUACCUGUUGACUAAGAUAGUUUUCUUUUCUUUCUUUAUAAGUUGAUGUAAAAUCUUUGCAGAAACCAUCUUUUAUGAUCAUUUUUAAUUAUACACUUUUAUCUUUCUUCAGAGAAACUUUGAGAAAACUUCUCUUCAGUUCCUUGUGAACAAUUCGAUUAUUUGGUGUGUGACAUCCAAUCGAUCAAUCCUUGUAUUGUCUUGGUGUGUCAUAUCCAAGGAGAUAAGUUGGUAAAUCAGAAGCUAUUCCGGAACUUCUGCGUGACCUUUUGAUCCACCUCUUUCUUCACUUGUGUAUUUUGAUUCAUUUGAAGAUCAUCUAUCCAUUUACCACCUUCUAAGUGCCGAUUCAGGGAGGAUCAUAUCAUCCCUGAACCAAAAAAAUUAUAAGUAUGAAAGUAAAAGAUAAAAACUCGAAGACAAUAUGAACAUGUUAUCAGAGUGUGUGUGAUCUCUUUCUAUAGUUGGUUAAUUGAGUUGUAUAUAAAGAGAGAUAGUUGUAAUUUGGUGAAGAAGAUAGUGGAUAGUAGGUCUCUCUAGUCGGAGACGUAGGGAUUCUUUCUCAUUUUGAGAACCUGAACUCCUUAAUUGCUUUGAGCCAUAUCUUCUUUCUGGUUUUCUUGCUCGUUUCGAUUCUGCAACUGUUUAAUUCUUCUUCUUCUUCUUGAGUGAUUUGAAGAAUUAGUGUUUGGGUAAUUGGUUUGAGCUAAACGCUAUUUGCUUGAGAGAUUAAGGAAGAUUUGCAACUUCAGGAAAUGGUUAAAGAGUAUAAAAAGGGGCCAUUAGCUAAAGAAGGUUAUACAGUGGUCGAUGAGAGACUGUGGUAUAAAAGCCGGUUAGUGAUUUUAAAAUCCUCGGAGUUUAUUUCGACGAUAUUUCAUGAGUGUCACGAUGGAGUGAUGGGAGGGCACUCAGGCGUGCUUAAAACAGUGAAGUAGAUUCAAAAAAAAUUUCAGUGGGAAGGGUUGUUCAAGUGUGUACAGAAGUAUGUAUCUGGAUGUCAAAUCUGCCAGACACACAAGUAUUCAACAUUGUCACCAGCAAAACUCUUACAACCAUUACCUUUUCGUACUAUGAUUUGGGAGGAUAUUUCUAUGGAUUCUUUGGAAGGUCUUCCGACAUCACAUGGUUACAAUGUGGUGUUGGUGGUUGUGGAUCGUUUAAGAAAAUUUGUGCACUUUAUGGGGUUAAACAUCCAUUCCAGGUCAAGAAUGUGGUGCAUAAGUUCAUCUCUAAAGUGAUUCACCUACAUGGGUUUCCGAAGUCUAUUGUAUCAGAUCGAGAUCCUUCUGGAAAGAACUUUUUCAUACGGCGGGUACCAAACUCAGAUUUAGCUCUGCCUUCCAUCCUCAAACUGACGGACAGUCAGAAGUUUUAAAUCGUUGUAUGUAUCUUCGCUGCUUUGCCUCGACACAUCCAAGGAAAUGGUUUAAUUACUUGAAUUGGGCAUGGUAUAAUACAUCAUAUCAUACAGCAUUGAAGUCGACUCCUUUUAACAUGGUAUAUGGACGUGACCCACCAAGCUUAAUUUUUAAUGAGAAAAGGCAACAGCUAACACAGGUUUGGAAGCUAUGUUAUUGGAAAGUGAUGCAAUGCUUUCAAAUAUCAAAUCACACCUGAUUCAUGUGCAGAAACUGAUGAAGAAUAACGCUGAAAAGCAUCCCAAAGAUGUGGAAUUUACAGUGGGUUCUAUGGUGUUUCUCAAGUUGAGACCUUAUCGUCAGCAAUCCAUGGUUAGGAGAGGAUGCCAAAAGUUGUCUACUAAAUAUUUUGGCCUGUUAUUGGGAAAGCAGUCUACCGCCACAAAUUACCGGAUCCGUGAUAUCGGAUCGUUACAAUGAGGACGGGCAAUUGGAGGUAUUGAUCAAGUGGCAAGGAAUGUCAGAGGAAGAUAACACAUGGGUCUUAGCCAAGUCCAUGUGAUCCAUGUUUCCUGGCUGAGCUGGAGCAGUGAAGACUCUUUAUCAUUCGGUGGUUUUGCUGUUAUGUAUAGAGGUCUAUCUUUUAGAUAAGAAAGUUUGUUGUUAGGAAGAGUCAGUCUUGGAUUUUCGAAUUUGUGAGAGAGACUGUAGUCUUGAGGUGAUACCUCGAAAGAAGGCCUCGUGUUGAGAGAUAUCAAGAUUUGUUCUGUGAGCAAUUCUGAUAUACACUGUUACGCAUAGUUUGAAGGUUGUAUACAUCAUUAACAUAUUCAAUUCAAAGAAGUUACAAGGAGAGGACAGAGUUGAGAUUGUAUCAGAGUUACAGGGUAUAUUUUAACAACUGAACUUGAGCUAAUAUACAACAAGUGAUAUCAGAGCCUUAGUUUGGAGAAUCAAUCGGGGUUCCCAAUGCUUCUCUGCGCCCUAGCCCAGAGUAGUAUUAUCAUAAUUAUAGUAUGCUCAAAUGACUAGGGCGCUACUGGACAGGGUUGAGGCUCGAACAGAAGAAUCGUCUAUAUUGAACUUGACUUCUCAUUGAACUUCGUUCGCGAAGGAAAUAGAAUUUUGACAGUCCCUUCAUAGACCUUUCCAACUCGUUAUAACUAUCUCAAAGAGACUCUCAAAUAUGAUGCCUAUAUAUAUAUAUAUAUAUAUAUAUAUAUAUACUAAGAAACGGUAUAUAGAAACAGAAAUAGUGAGGAAGGGUUAUAAGUCCCAUUGUUAUGGUAUUCGAGCCAUGCUUAUGGUUCGGGGUGAGAGAGGUAGUCAGAGGUUUAUUUUAAGUUUCUUGUGAUGUUUUAUUAAUAUUAUUGUUAGUUUUUUGGAAAAAGAACUUUAUUCUCCUGUGUGUUUUAGCCAGCUUAAAAAAGGGUUAUAAGUCCCAUUGUUACUAGACAGGAUUGUAAGGAACCAUAAAACUUUUUCUAAACAUAUUAAAAUAAGUUUAUUUAAUAGAUCAACAUCAAACAGUUCCGAGUCCGUCUUUUCUUCUAGGUUUGAUAGGAAGUAUCUUAGAAAAUCAAAAGGGGUCAUCACUAGUCAUGAAACAAUUAUAGAUGAUUUCCAAGGUUCAAUUGAUAAUGGGAAAUUCCAAAAGUUCAUAAAAAACAAAUUUAUCAAAUUUCAAAAUUAAAAUUUUCUAAGAACUAAUUACUUAAUCAAAACUGAAGAACAAGAUAUACAAGUUACAAAAUCUUUUGAAACAAUUCAUUUUUUUCUGACAAAGCUUUAAAAAGACAUAGAGAAAACGAAUUCAUAUAUAUACAUAUUGGUUUUGUUCAAGUUGGAAUUAAAGAAUGAUUAAAUAAUUCAAUUUAAGCUAUUUUACGAGAUACAAAAUUUAAAAUAUUUGAAGAUUCAUUAUUAAGCUCUAUUGAAUCAAGUUUGUGUACUGUUCCAAUUUUAUUUGAUUGUUAUCCAAAUUUUAUAGUAUCUUUAAAAGAUAAAAAUAUCUUAAAAUCUCUAGUUUUACAAGUUAAAACUCACAAUUAUGAAAUAAUCGAAGGAUCUAUUCCAAUUGCUAUAAUUUUUAGUGUUCACAUAUAAACCUUGGAACGAUAGGCAAACAGCUUGAUAGAAAAAUGAAUUCAAAUCAACCUAUCACUCCAAUAGAUUCUAUCUCUGAAAAGAAAACAAAAAAAACCCAUAUUCAAACCUUUCCAAAUUUCUAAUUCCAGUGUCAAAAUUUACCAAGAAUUCAUUUGUAUUCUCCAAAGCUAACUAAGUAAGGCAGACAUAGGAGAAAGUAACACACCUCAUGAAUCUGAUAUUCCCGAUAUUCCUACUUCUAAAGCCCAAAUAAAAACUCUAGCUAAUGAAUCCUAAUUAGUGAAUCCUCUGAGCAAAAUUCAAUCCCUGUGAUUAACUGUCUUGGUUGGGAAAAUUAUCAAGAUCGUCAUUUAAUCUCUGCCCCUGACCUAGGUCAAAUUCAGAAAAUAGAACAAUCUAGGUUCAAUUCAUCUUCAAUUUAUGAUUGGAAUAUCGAUGGCAUAUCUGAGUACCAUAUCUUAAAUUUCCUACAAAAAAUGACAAUGGCCGCAAACGCCUAUAGAACUCAAGUAGGAAAUGAGGAUAGAACCGUUGCUAAACUCCUAAUAGCUGGUUUUUCAGGCCAGCUUAAAGGAUGGUGGGAUAACUACCUAAACAAUCAGCAACGCUCAGAAAUCCUAGAUGCUGCCAAAAUGGAUGAGGAUAAUAUGCCCAUACUAGAUAAUUUUGGAAACCUCCAACAAGAUGUUGUAGCUACCUUAGUUAUAGCCAUAACCUUGUAUUUCAAAGGAGAUCCCUCAGUACUUAGAGAUAAGAACGCCGAACUCCUUUCAAACCUUAUAUGCAAAAGGCUUAGCGAUUUCCAAUGGUAAAAAACACUUUCCUUACUAGGGUUCUACUCCGCCAAGAUUCAAACCAACCAUUUUGGAAAGAAUAAUUCCUCGCAGGACUCCCAACCCUUCUAGGAGAAAAAGUUAGAAAUAAUUGAUUAUGAUGAUUUCACUUAUGGAGAGUUGAUCAGUAUUGUUCAACAAGAAGGUCUCAAGAUUUAUCAAGAUCUAAAACUCUAGAAACAUCUUAAAUGGGAACUCAAAAGAACAAAAGUAGAAUUAGGCUCUUUUUAUAGACAAUUCGAAAUUGAUCCCAGCAAAAAUAGUAAAUCUCGCAUAGGAGAUUGCAGUAAUUCUUAAUACUCUAAAAAUAAUCCUAGAAAAUACUCUAAAACCUAUAAAAACCAUAAAUGUCACAAAAAUUCCUGGCAAAGAUCUCGAAAGAGAUUUAGAAGGAAUACCAACCACUAAUCCAUUCUACAAAAAUUUCACUUGCUUCAAAUGUACUUAAAAGGUCACACUUCAAAAUUCUGCCAUUUUAACAGAAAAAUCCAAGAACUCGGCCUUGGAGAAGAACUUCGAGUGACAUAUCUAAUCUCUUACUAUAUCAUUCAUCAUCAUCGGGUAAUGAUUCUGAUUCAUCAUUAUCCUCUGAAAAAAAAACCCUACAAGUUGAUGAGCUAAAAAAACUCAUCAUCUGGCUCUGAAACUAAUGAAAAUCCAAUAAGCGUACUUACAAAAGAUCAAGAAUUUCAGAUUGAAAUCUUGAAUUCCAUUUCAAAUCCUCAGACCAAACAAAAAUUCCUAGAAACAAUCAUUUCGUCUCUGAACGAAAAAGAAAUAAAAAGCUCUGCAAAUACAUCAAAGCCUCAUAAUCCAACAUCUUCAAAAUCAUCUUAUGACCUAACCACAAUCCUUAACAAAAGAAAGAAAGUUGGUUCUAAAACAACAAUUCAAGAUCUUAUGAUGGAAAUAAAAAAAGUAAAAAAUGAUCUCAAAAUAAUUAAAGAAAAACCAAAAAAGAGAUUCUGAGUAUUUUCACUCAGUUAUAUCUUCUAUCAAGGGAAAUCAUGAUCCUAGUUCUGAUGAACAAGACAAUGAUAACCUAGAUAACAUUUAAGAUGAUCUCAAUCUCAAAGAACAAGUACAGUCUCUAGACUCUGCCCCUAAUGAUUUCCUAUGUGUUUAAAGAGAAACGACUUCCCAAAAAUAUAAAAUAAAAAUCACACUUGUUUUUCCUGAAAAUUACAAAAUUGAUAUGAUCGCUCUGUUUGAUACAUGCACUGAUCUUAAUUACAUCAAGUGUGGGUUUGUCCAAAAUGCUUAGAAACACGAGAAAAAUUAUAUGCUGCUAAUGAUUCCAAACUCCGCAUAACAUCUAAAGCAUAAGCUUCAGUUUUAAAAGGUAAUAUAUUCAUCAAAACUGCAUUCAUCUUGACAGAUGAUAUAUACCAAAAUGUUAUAUUAGGAACUCCCUUCAUAAAUUUAAUCACACCAUACAAAGUGAUGGAUAAUUCAAUUUCCUUCAAAACACAAAACAAAAAACUAUCUUUUCAAUUUCUUGAAACACCAAAAAAGCAAAGUCUAAAUUUAAUAAAAAAUUGCUCAAUACAAGAAAAUUUCUUAAAUUUUUAAUAUAAAGUAACACUUUCCAUUUGAAAAUUUAAAAUCUGAAUUUUUACUACAAAAAACAAAAAAAAAGCUUGGAUACAAAAGAAGUAAAAGGCAAAAUUUUAAAUCUAGAAAAACUUUUUAAAAAGGAAAUUUGAUCAGAUUUACCAACAGCUUUUUGGAAUCGAAAACAACACAUUGUUGAUUUGCCAUACAAGGGAAAUUUAAAUGAAAAAGAAAUUCUCACUAAAGCUCGUCCUAUACAAAUAAACUCUGAAUUAGAAAAACAUUGUAGGAAAGAAAUUUCUGACCUUUUAAACAAAUGCCUAAUUUUAAAAUCAAGAUCUCCUUGGUCAUGUGCUGCUUUUUAUGUGAAAAAAAAUUCUGAAAUUGAGAGACGCACUCUUAGGUUAGUAACUAAAUACAAACUUUUAAAUACUGCAUUAAAAUGGAUUAGAUAUUCAAUACCGAAUAAAAAAAGAUUUACUUCAAAAGCUUUUAUUCUGCCCACAUAUUUUCAAAAUUUGAUCUUAAAUCAGGAUUUUGGCAAAUUCAAAUCUCUGAAAAUAGCAUUUACAGUACCUUUUGGUCAAUACCAGUGGAAUGUAAUGCCAUUUUGUUUUGAAAAUGCACCUUCGGAAUUUCAAAGAAUCAUGAAUGAUAUAUUUUCUGACUAUUUAAAAUUUUAUAUUGUUUACGUUGAUGAUAUUUUAAUAUUUUCAAAUUCUCUUCAUGAGCAUUUUAAACAUUUGGAGAUAUUUUAUUAUGUUGCAAGAAAACAAAAGUCUAGUUUUUUCAAAAACAAAAAUGUCUUUAUUACAAUUAAGAUCAGAUUUCUAGGGCAUUACAUAUCGCAAGGUAUGAUAACAUCGAUAGAAAGGUCUUUAGAAUUUGCAAACAAAUUCCCAGAUAAGAUUUUAGAUAAAACCCAAUUACAAAGGUUCAUUGGUAGUCUUAACUAUGCAUUAGAUUUCUGUCCAAACAUUAAUAGGAUAGCAAAACUAUUACAUAAUCAUUUAAAGAAAAACCUGGUUCCUUGGACAAAAGAGCAUACUGCAUUAGUACAAAAAAUUAAAAAGCAGGUUUUUGAAAUCCCUUGUCUGCACAUAGCGGAUCCAGAUUUAAAAAAAGUUGUAGAAACAGAUGCAUCAGAUGUAGGAUAUGGUGGUAUUCUUAAGCUAAAGAACAUAAAUGGUCGAGAGAGUAUAAUACAAUUUACAUCUUCGCAUUGGAAUAAUACCCAAAGAAACUGUUCUACUAUUCUUUUUUUUUUUUUGUCAGCAGCCUAAGUACUUCCAUAGGUCACCGCCGUUCUUCUAAACACCUCUCUUCUAGUUUUAACAUCUUCUAAGGUCCCUUCAAAAAUAUUAUACAUGAAAACCAGAUCUCUAAAAUAGUUUCAAAACCUUCGAAAUUCACAAGUUAUUGUGAGGGAGUUUUCACAAAACUCACCCUCUGAAAAUUUUGAAAAAACUAUUUACCAAAACAUUAUAAAUAUUGAAAAAAAAAUUUUGGUCAGCAACGACCCGUUUUUAACAAAUAUUUUGGGAAAAACAGAUUUUUCAAACCUUAUAAUACAGAUAAAAGUGUGUUAUUAUUUCAAACGAUUUUGGAAAUAACAGAACCAGUGUCCUUUAAAUAUUUUUAUCUCAAUGAAAACCACACUUCUGCUAAUUGCACUUUCAAAAUUCAUAAGGUCUGAUAUAUUCAUAUAUUUUCAUGUUUACAAUUGCAUUUUUAUCCAAAUAUUGCGUCUCAUGCAUACAUUUAGCUAGUUUUGUUAGAGUUUUUCUUUGAUUCUAGUUUUGUUUAGGAAUUGCAUUAGGUCCCAGAGAGAGAUAACCUGAAACACUCCUCUAAGAGAUUAUUUAUUCUCUCAUAUCAUCCUUUAUUCUAGCGUCUCCCUCGCGAGUCCCUCACCUUUUAAUGAGCUUGGAAAUCUCAAAUUUGUCCUUGUAAUUUUGGCAGAAGUAAAUUAUAAGAGAAAAUUGAAAAAUCGGUCAAUCAUAAAUAAGCAGAGAUAAACCAAUCAAAAGCGGCGAAACAAAAAUUCGUCCAAUGAGAUAUAAGCAUGAGUAGCCAAUCAGAAGCGAGCUUCUCAAAUUUUAACCAAUCAGGAGCGUGUCGACAUUUUUUAGGCGCCAAAAAUUCAGCCAAUCAGAACAGGCUUUGUCUUCUUGUCGGGGACCAGGUUGAAAGAGAAACCAUUUUCGCUCGCUUCACCCCAGCGAUCGCUAGAGAACGAAUUCUCAGAACUCGAAUCCUUCUUGACAUUUUGUUGCACUCAUCCCUCAUUGAAGAUUAAUCGAGGUAAUUAACAUUUUGUUGGAUAUUCUUUUUCAUUUCGUUAUUGGAAAGUCGUUGCCCUAGAACCACGAUUAGGAUUAAAUUCGAUUAUUGAAUAGGCAAUGGUAUAAUAUGGAAAUUUUAAUUGGUUGCUAAUCGACUGGGUAUGUAUUGGAUUGGGGUUUUAGAUGCUGUAAUUGGUUGCUAAUCGACUGGGUAUGUAUUAGAUUAGAGUUUCUCCUUGAGUUGACAAUUAGAUCUAAUUAAAUGAGAGAGAUAGAGUAACAAUUGGUAUUACCUGUGUAUUUCUGGAAACAAUUGGAAACAUUUCUUAUGCAGUUGAGUAUGGUCUAUGUGUUAUUUUUUCAGGUGAUAAUGAUAACGAACCUAUUUUUUGAUUACGGGGGAUAUUAUUCAACUUCGGAGGAUAAAUAGAUUUCAGCCCCAGCGUCCAUGUAUGGUAUAAUGUUUAAGUCAUCAAGUUUGGAGGAGAUUACUUAUUCUGAUUUAGUGGAAAAGAUAUGCACGAAGAUUGGGAUUGUUGAAUCUUCAAGUAAGUUGAUACUGAGUUACAUUCCGGUACUAGUGCAAACUCAGAAACAGUUUUAUAUUUCGAAUGAUGACGACCUAGCCGUGCUCCUGACUUCACUGGAUAAAGAGGGACGCAGAAGUAUUAUUAAUGUAGAGGUCAUCAAAGGUGUUGAAGUUGGAGAGGGAUUUUCCAGAGUUGAGAGGGUAAGUUCAGUUGGUAUAAAUCAUGGGGGGUUGCAUUUAGGUAAUGGUGGAUCAAAUAAUGGUGUACUUGCUAUUUACACAGGCAACUGUUCAGCAGGACAACAACAUCACGAGAAUAUCCCAUUGAUAGAGGAAGCUGACGGUGAUGAGGGAAAAGAUGGUGAUGAUGUUACACGUGAUGGAGAAGAUGGUGAUGAUGUUACACGUGACAAUGGAAAAGAUGGUGAUGAUGUUUCCGUGAAAAUGCUGAUGUAGUAGGUGAUGAUGCUAAAGCCAAGUUUGAUAACGAAGAGGAGGAAUACAGAGGGUUUGAUUUUGAUUAUGGUCCCCCUCCUGAAGUUGUAGAAACACAACAUUUUGAAUGGGAAGAUGGUAUGAAUCUGAGAGUGGAGCAACAAUUUGCAUGUAAACAAGAUUUGAUAGAUUUAGUGUAUAGAGCUUCACAUCAAUAUUGUUUUGGUCUGACUAUAAAGAAUUCAGAUAAGAGGCGAUAUGUCAUGAAAUGUGGUGAAACAGGUUGUAAUUGGUAUUUACGAGCUUGGAAGGAUGCGAAAACACCCUGUUUUUCUAUAACAGUAUACCGGAAGAUGCAUACUUGUUCUCGGGCCAGUGCGAGUACAAACAGAAAACAAAGGAAAGGAACACCAGGAUUAGUUGCAUAUGUUGUUAAGGAGUUGUAUCCAGGGCGAUUAGAUACACCAACUCCUCACGCUGUCAUGCUUUUGGUUAAACAAAACGCUUCUGUGAGUGUGUCAUACUCCACCGCAUGGAGAGGAGUACAGCAAGCUAAAUCUCUGGUUCGUGGUUAUCCUGCAGACAACUAUAGAGAUCUGUACUCGUAUUUGUACAUGCUACAGAAGGUGAAUCCAGGAACAAAACACUAGGUGUUACUGGACGAACAAGGAAGAUUCAAGUACUUAUUUGUUUCUUUGGGAGCUUGCGUUGAGGGGUUUGAAGCUAUGAGAAAAGUGGUAGUUGUUGAUGCAACUUUUUUGAAAGCCAGAAUGGGUUGUCAGCUAGUCUUAGCUGCUUGUCUAGAUGGUAAUCGUCACCAUUAUUCGAUUGCUUUUGGAGUUAUUGAUUCAGAAAAAAAUGACAGUUGGGAGUGGUAUUUCAGGCAGUUAAAAACGGUUAUACCCGAUAAUCCUGAGUUGGUUAUUGUGUCGGACAGAAAUUUAGGCCUCAUUAACGCAGUAGCUGAGGUGUACACGGAAGCUAAACAUGGGUAUUGCACCUGGCAUCUUUCACAGAAUGUGAAAAUGCAAGUUUCAAGGGAUAGAGAAAUAGUUGCAGAUACAUUCAUGGAGUGCGCAAGGCAGUAUACAGAUGCCGAGUUUCUUGAUCAUUAUUCGAGGAUGGCAUUAAAGUAUCCUGCUGUGACUGAUUAUCUAGAAAGGCGGGUAGAAGUAUCGAAAUGGGCCAAGUGCUAUUUUCCAGCAGAGAGGUACAAUCUAGAUACUAGUAACGUUGUGGAGUCCUUGAAUAGUGUGUUUAAAGAUGCAAGGAAGCUGCCAUUAUUACCUAUGAUAGAUGCGAUUGUUGACAAGUUGUGUGAAUGGUUUAACAAGCAUAGGAACGAGGCUGCUUCAACGCCACUAGGAUGCAAACUGGUUGCCUUUGUGGAAAAUAUUUUUCACAGUAGAUGUGCUGAAUCUAAGAAGCUAGGUGUCACCGAGUUAAACAUGAUUCAGAUUGAAUACAGCGUGCUUGGAUUAGAUGGGAUUAAUUACACGGUGAGCUUGAAAAAUAAAACUUGCUCGUGCAAGCUUUUUGAUAUACACAAGUAUCCAUGUGUCCAUGCAUUAGCCGCAUUAGAAGCUUACAUGAAGCGGCCAGACAGAGAAGUGGAUAUAAACGUGGAGGACUUGUGUUCGAUGUAUUAUUUAACCGAGCAGUGGGCUUUUGCUUAUAACAGAACCAUCUAUCAUGUUCCACAUAAGUCACAGUGGGUUGUCCCCGAUGAUGUUAAGCAAUUGAGCGCUUUGCCCCCGGAUUACGAGCCAAAAAGAGGGGCAAAACAGCAGAAAAGGCAUCCAUCCGUUGGAGAGCUUCGACCGAAGUCGAAGAGGACGAAGACGAGUAAUAAGCGUCGGCCGGAAUCUUACAAAAUUUAUAGCUAUUUUACUGGAGGUGAAAACGCUGGAAGUGAAAACGCUGGAGGUGAAAAUACUGGAAGUGAAAAUGCUGGAGGAGGUGUCUCGGGUGAUAACGUGGUUUAGUUUGGAAAAUGGAGAGAUAUGUUGGGAUUGUAUUACUCGGAAAUACUUAGUACAACCAUCUUUGGAUUUAGGUUUUAUGUUGUGAUUGUAUUACUCAGAAAUACUUAGUACAACCAUAGUCAUAUUUGGAUUUAGGGUUUAUGUUGUGGUUGUAUUACGAGGAAAUACUUGAUGCGGUAAAUAUCUUCAAACGACUUCUGGUUUGAGUUAAUGCGGUCUCAAUAUCUUCAAACGACGUAUCGUUUUCCCCAAACGUGAUAAAGCGGAUUGUUAUUUAACGUGGACCCAAAGAGUUUCUGAAACACAAUCUCAUUCAUAUACAAUGGCUAGGCAAAGCGGGUUUUCUGAUUUUCCCAUAGAGAUGAAAAACAAAAUACUAAAGAAGGUAGUCAGUUCUAGCACUCGCGAUUACUAUAGGGCUUUAGUGGCAAGUAGGGGUUUAUACCAGAUCUCCAAGGAUCCAAUCUUCCUUCGGACCGUGGAUUUGCUAAGCGUGCCCACACCUUGGUUCUUUGAUAUGGCAUGGAUGAGAAUGUUCAAGGACAGAUGUUUGGUAGAAGGUAAUCCUACGGCUCUAUUUGAAAGAGGUCUUUCAAUAUUUUUCUAUGACCAUGAUAUAGAGGCAGGGAUGGCAAUGCUUAAGGCGUCAUCGGAAGCGGGAUUUUCGUUGGCAAAAUAUUGCCACCAAAUGCUUGUCCUAGCGGUUACGAAUUCAAAGAGCAAGCCCUAGAGGACCCCCGUAUGUCACUCCAGCACAGUUUGGAGAGAGGAUUACAUUGGUGGUGGACAAAAUAAAUAACUUGCAUUGUGGAAGUGGAGACAUUCAUUCAGUUAUAAUAAUGAUGGGAUAUGCAGACGUGCCCCCUGAUUGGUGCGAUUCUUGCCACUGGACAAUGGAGGCGGUAAAUUUCCAGUGGGAUAUUAGAAAUCGCUUUGUGAAAGAGUGGCCAACUUGAUCCAUCAGAGUGAAAUUUUGUUUUUGUUUUAUUUAAGUAUUACUCGUAUAACUUUGUAAAAACAAAUUAAAAGGGAGAUAAAGAAGAAAAAAACUACGUGGAUAAUGAGUAACUAGAAUAAUUAGUACAACGACGUUCAACAAAUAAUUGUUGUUCUGUCAUUUGUUGAUGAGUAUAACUACGCUCUAGUUAUACUCAUUUGUUGUUCUGUCGACCACAAAUAAUUGUGAACUGGGGUGGAGAAGCAAGAGCGAAAAAGUUGUGAAAAAGAAAAGUGAAAGUAGUACUUUUGGGUCAGAGAAUGUCAUGUAAAAGUUAAAAACACGAUGGAAUGUUCGUCGGAAAAAGAGAAAGGUGAUCAUGUGUCAGAUAGAAUAUUAUUAUAAUAAUAGAAAAUAAGAUUAAAAGAGACCCGUUUCCAGGUGACGUCGUUUUGAAGAAGUUAACCAACCCUUAACCACCAAUAGACCAAUUUAAACCGAUUUCAUAAUUUGGAGAUUGCAAAAUACGACCACGAUAAGAAUUAGUAUUUUAAAAAAAUGGUCGUUUUCAUGCUAACACUAACAGGGUUAAGUAAAGAGUGUUUUAAACUAUUAAGAAUAAUGAAGAAAUAAUACAAAUCUCACCACACCCGACACUUAAGGCAAUCUCCUUCUAUAGUGACAUUGUCAAGCUUAGUCCAUCAAUGAUGGAAAGAAUACGUAUCAUACUUUUCCUCGAAUUUUGUUUGAUGAACAAGUUGAUAAUUUGCUGUUAUAACCAAUUAUGAAACGUAUUAUCGGAAUAUAUUCAUGACAUUUCAGUAUUACUGCGAAUACGGUAUAUCCACCAAAAGUAACACUAUGUGGACGAUGUGUAUAACUAGAAAAUAAGGCACAACUACUUUAAAAUUCCCAGUUGCAAUAAACGGCAUGUGUCCAUAAUAAAAUAAAUUAUGUCAGCCACACGUGAGUUACGACAGGUGUUCUUUAGCUGAACACGUGCCUAUGUAUUAGGUAGAAUAUUAUUAAAUAAAAAAGAUUAAAUAAGACCUGUUUCCAGGUGACGUCGUUUUGAAGAAGUUAACCAACCCUUAACCACCAAUAGACCAAUUUAAACCGAUUUCAUAAUUUGGAGAUUGCAAAAUACGACCACGAUAAGAAUCAGUAUUUUUAAAAAUGGUCAUUUUCAUGCUAACACUAACAGGGACAAGUAAAGAGUGUUUUAAACUAUUAAGAAUAAUGAAGAAAUAAUACGAAUCUCACCACAACCCGACACUUAAGGCAAUCUCCUUCUAUAGUGACAUUGUCAAGCUUAGUCCAUCAAUGAUGGAAAGAAUACGUAUCAUACUUUUCCUCGAAUUUUGUUUGAUGAACAAGUUGAUAAUUUGCUGUUAUAACCAAUUAUGAAAUGUAUUACCGGAAUAUAUUCAUGACAUUUCAGUAUUACUGUGAAUACGGUAUAUCCACCAAAAGUAACACUAUGUGGACGAUGUGUAUACCUGGAAAACAAAGUACAAUUACGUUUCAAAAUUCCCAGUUGCAAUAAACGAGACAUGUGUUUUCAUUUGAACACGUGUCUUACUGGGUAACAAAUAGACCCCACUACAAUUAUUUAUUAUUUCCUGGGUUUAUCCACGAAACUCAAAUUUGUUUUCUCCGCCCCCAAAACCUCAAACAUUUCCAAUUUUGAGUUCCCCCCCCCCCAAAUAGACAUUUCCAAAUUUGAGUUUCCCCCCCAAACAUCAAAAUUCAUUAAAAUAUAUGGGUUUACGCACAAAUCACAACCAAAACACAAAACACUCCCUUGUUUGCAAAACAACAUUUUGUUGCAAGAAUGCCAAGUCUCGGCUCGUCGUCCGACUCGGACAUUUCAAGCGGGAGCCCUGAACCCGAAUUGUACGAAGAUUCUCGAAUCCCGCGAUUCUGUUAUUGUCAUCGUAAACCAAUCAUCAAAACUUGCCACACCGUUUUGGAUCCGGGAAAAAGAUUCUUCGCUUGCAAUAAGGAAUACGUAAGUUCAGCUGUUGAUUGCUUUUCAUUUCGUACCAAAAAUAUUUAUACGGUUUGUGUCUUGUAGAAUCCCGGAUGUCAUCUCUUCAAGUGGUGUGAUGAGGCGAUGCUAGAAGAGAUUGCAGAUGUUCGACAUGAUUUGACCGAGAUGCAGAGCCGGAGUGGUUGGACUAGAACCAUGAACCGGAUUCACUCGACGAAAAUUUCCCAGCUACAUGAAUCGGUAAUCAACCUGAAGGAGGAAAUGGUUGAGGCAAGGAGGUCUCAUGCUCUCCUUUAUGAGAUGGUUUGUGACUUGGUUUUGAAGGAAAUGGAUAGGGAAUUGGAACAGACGCGACAAACUAAGAUAUUUAAGGAAGUUAAGGACAUGGUUGUUCUAUCUGUUCUUGUUGUGGCCUCUGUUUCUUUAACUAUCUACCUGUUCAAGUAGUUACGAUUCAUGGUUGUACUCAAGACUUACUCAAUUUUCCAAAAACAUGUGGUUACACCAAGUGAUACAUAUUUUUGAUUUUCGGGAUUACAUGAUGAUACCAAGUAUUACGUAUUUUCGAUUAUCCGAUAACAUGUGGUUACACCAAGUAAUACCGAGUAUUACAAAUUCUCAAUUAUCCCAAAAACAUGUGGUUACACCAAGUAAUACCGAGUAUUACAUAUUUUCGAUUAUCCGAUAACAUGUGGUUACACUACAAAUUCUCAAAUAUCCCAAAAACAUGUGGUUACACCAAGUAAUACCGAGUAUUACAAAUUCUCAAAUAUCCCAAAAACAUGUGGUUACACCAAGUGAUACCGAGUAUUACAAAUUUUCAAUUAUCCCAAAAACAUGUGGUUACACCAAGUGAUACCGAGUAUUACAAAUUUUCAAUUAUCCCAAAAACAUAUGGUUACACCAAGUGAUAUCGAGUAUUACAAAUUUUCAAUUAUACCGAGUAUUAGGGUUUCCUUAUUAAGGAUUCCUUAUGUAUCGACUGAGAUAAUAUAGUUGAUAGAAUAACACAAGGAAUUUUACUAAUAAUUUUUUUGUUAAUAAAUAUAUUACAGUCAUAAAUUUUAAAUAAUAAAUAUUUUACAACGGAAUAUAUUUAAACAUAAAAUUCAUUAUUUUAUUGUGAAAAACACCAUGAAUUAAUGGGAAUUAAUUCAUGGCGUGUUACUCGGUCAUCAGGCGAGCCUCCUUCUUGAACCGUUCCGGUUCCAAGACGCACCUGCGUGCAACGUCUGCGAGGUAGUUGUCCUCUUCCUCGACCUUAGGGUGAAGCAGCAUGUCAUGGAGCGCUUGGAGGAGUUCCUUGACUGUCGUUCCAACCUUCCACGUAGCGGUGACGAGUAGCGGAUGGAAGACGCGGGGUUGGUCGAUGUUGGGGUGCAGAAUCGGCGUCUUCCACAACACCAUUGGUGGCUUGAAGGGGUAAUCCGGUGGAAAACGGAUGGAGAUGAAGAAGAUGCCCCCAAUAAACCAGAAAGAAAGAGAGUGAGUUAUAUUUAUGGAAAGAAAAAGGCAAAACCCGAGGGUGCGACUCAUAUAAUAAAUAUCCUUCAUAACCGUUUAGCAUUAUUGUGCAGAGCAGUUAAAAGUCACAUCUCCUUUCUCUCCCCUAAUAAACCGGAAAAUAUUUAUUUACUUAAUGUAAAAAUCAAAUAAAGUGUUGGUAGUUGUACCAGUCUUACGCCAGUUAAUGAAAGCAUUAACAGCCGUAAGACUGGUACAACUAGAUCAAUAAACGCGUGUCGUUCCCUCUUUCAUUUUCUGUCCAUACAACACGUCUAUACAAUAAAUAAAUCCUCUCACGUGAGUAAAUGCUGAGUAAACAAAUAUCAUCCAGGGAACAUUGUCUAUACACUAAACAUAUUAGUAGUCUUCCCCACAAAACUAGAAAUUCGAAAAAACUGAAUAGUAUUGCCCACUCUAUAAAAAGACACUUGAGAUAUUGUAGUUCUAGAAUUCUUCAAGUCGUCAACAAAAUGGAGAAAUCAGAUGGAAAAAAAUAUGAUGAGAAUGGUCUGCUGAUCAUCAACCCACCACCUUUGAACAUGAGAUUUGGUGUGGUGGAACCUAAGUCGCCACCUUCGCCAACUGAUUCUGAGAUCGAGCAAGCAGAGCUGUGGGAACAAUUCAAGCAAAAUCUGCCAAAGGUAAUAUAUUCUCUCUGUUUAAAGGUUUAUAAAUAUGUCCUGAUCAUGAGUGAUAAUUUAUAUCUAUUUUUUUGUUGAGGAGAAGGACAAAGACAUCUCAGUCCAUAAACCUCCCCACAAACGUUGUACAAAACCGGAACACGAAUUGAUUCUGGAUCUGGAGAUAUGAUUGAAGUGCAUGCAUUGCGGAUUCGUGGAGAGAGAAAUCCGAAACAUGGACACAUCCGAAUGGGUAAGUAAUUAGUCAUUUGUUUUGGUCAUGACAAAUAUAAAAUAAGUUCAAAUCUAUAUGACUGGAAAAUAAUCAGUUGAUGUUGUUUGGUUUUUUAAAUUUUAAUUGUAGACAAAACUCAUUAUUAAGUAAUAAUACUGAAUACAAAUUUAAGCUAUAUGAUUUUUAAACAUAAAUGAGAUUUUCUACGUUUCUGUUCAAAGGGAGAGAUGAAGAAUAUAAAGAGGAAGAGGUCUGGAAUGGCAUCGAAAUUCAAAUGAAGCCUAUUUUUUUUUUUUUUUAACAAUUCAUAUAUGUAAUCUCCUAUUGUUUUCCUCAGAACCUUGAUAUUUAUGGUAAUUUGUUAAUUUAUCUUCGGAGAAAUUAUUUAUGUUUUGGUUCAAUUAAUUUCAUUAUAAAUUAAUAACUCUCUCUAAAAUAUAAGACUCCCAAUGUAUAUUUUCAAUAACGCAUUUACGAGAGUAGCAGUUAUUCCGAUAUUCCUCUCUCUCUCUCUCUCAUACGGACGCGUUUAUUCGACGUGACUACUGAGAAACUACUCACAUCCUUUCACUUCCUCCAUUUUCUUUUUCUCUAUUUAAUUUCGCAAAGGAGUUCCAAAAUCCAUUCUAGUUCUUCAUUACUUUCCCAAAUCCAUCACUCUUUCCUUCCUCCUCUCUCUUAGGGUUCCUCUCAGAUUUUCCUUUUAUAUUACAAUCCAUCAAUUUCUCUUAGGGUUUCAGAACUUUUCUCCACAAAACUCGGCCUCCACCACUUUCAUAUAUAAAUCCAUGGCAGAGUACUCCUACCUACUAGUCCUACCAGAUGAACCACUGGAAAAGGUUCUAGCGAAGUCAGCUAACACAAUUGGUGACCUUAUACGGAUUCGCUAGAUUUGUCAUAGGUUCAACGACUGCACCAGAGGCCCUGGCUUCUACGCUGAAGUUGAUCCCUUUAAUAUGGGGCAUCCAGAGGAUGAAGAUGUCCAUCUCAUCAUCGAUGUCUUCAGAGAGUUCUAUGAUGCACGAAAUCCAGGCAUGAUUUUCAUGCGAGGUAUGCAACUCUUUUUUCAUCGAAAAGAUUUUGGAGGGAUUCUACUGAUCAAGGAAGCGGCGGAUAGAGGGUACACGCGUGCAGUAUAUGCCUACGGGAUGUUCAUGAAACUUGUUAUGGAACAUCCGGAGGGUGAUGAGUACCUCAACAAACAAAGCCGGAAAACAAUAAGGAAGUGCACCGGCGACCUCGUUGCACAAGUAUAUCUUGGUUGGCCAAUGAGUUUGCCAGAGAUAUUCAAUGAAGGCCACCGUCGCUUUUUACCGCGCCUCAAUACUCUUAUCCACUGUCCGUGCGGUACAGUUAACCGAUUGGAGCGUUGGUGGAAUGAUGAGUAUAAACCAGGGAACAUCUGCGACUACUGCUUUUUAACUCGCGAAUGCGGAAGGUUCUUCCUAUAUGUGUACCGGGUAGUUUGAGUUUUUCCUGAUAUGCGAGACUGGUGAAUAUGUCUGAUGUUUUCUGUCUUAUGUUUUUUGUUUUUUGUACUUUCUUAUGUUCUGGAUUCCGUAUGUGCACAUUUCGUUAUGUUUAGUACUCCCUUAUGUUGUCCUUAUGUUGUCUACAAACAUUAUUCUACUAAUUUUAACUCGAACUGUUUAGGCCUAGUAUUCAACAUAUAUAAGUGGUUACACCAAAUAAUACUAAGAUGGUUACACCUAAUAAUACUAGGUUACACCAAAUAAUACUAAAAUGGUUACACCUAAUAAUACUAAAAUUCCCAGCUUUAUAUGUGGUUUCACCAAUAAUACCAAGUUUUCCCAAUAUUUGGUUUUCAAUAAUCCAAAAUCAAUAAUAGAAAUAAAAGUACAUAUUUCAAAUGUCAUAGGAGAUUUAACGUCUCUGCUUUGUGUUUGGCCUUAGCUUCGAUUGCUCUUGUCACCCACUUCUGCGUUCACACCGUCUGGUUCUACCUACACAUACCAAGUAAUACAACAUAGUGUUACCACGAAAUAUAAAGUAUUACCAAAAAACAAUGGAUAUUACUCUUCAAACUUCAAUACCUCUUUACUUCUCAGCAGGUAAGGAGAUCGGGCUACAAGCUGUUCCGCCUCUUUCAGCUCCGCCUCAUUCAUAUCCGGCUCUUUCUGCUCCGACUCUUUCUGCUUUGGCUCUUUCUGCUCCGGCUCUUUCUGCUCCGCCUCCUUCUGCUCCGCCUCCUUCUGCUCCGCUUCCUUCUGCUCCGCUUCCUUCUGCUCCGCUUCCUUCUGCUCCGGCUCCUUUUGCUUCUUUUUCGGCUUCUGCUUCAGCUGUUUCUUCUUCGACUGUUUCUUCUUCACCAGACUUUCAAGUUUCUCUCCAGCUUGAUCAUGUUCAUGUUCUACAUCAUUUCGAAAAACUUCUCCUCCCUCAUCUCCUGGUCCUUCCCUUUCUCUUCUUGUCUCUUUUACAUAUUGUUCUACAAAGCAGAGUCUUGUAUCAAAGCCAUCCAUUCGGGCACUGAUUCAGAGAAACUGAGCGUCCAUACUCUUCUGCAAGCUCCGAAGCUGUUCCACAAUUCCAAGAGGCGCCUCCUUCUCCGUCCCCACAAAAUGCUUAGCCGCUACAGGAUGGUUUACCCACUCCUUAUUAUCUCGGGCAUCAACAUCGAUCUUGCAUAUCUCUAUCCAGAAUAUCGGCUUCUUUUCCUCAACUAAACGCCUCGUCCAAUUUUCAGGAACGAUAUCACCGAUAUCUUCCUCUUCAUUCCUCUCCAUGACUCCCGCAAGCAUAAUUACCUCAUCCUCGGAUGGUUGCAAUAUACUCUUGAUGACCCUAGUGUUACCCAGCGUUUCAUAGAGUUCCGACAAAGGGAAACCUUUUAGUGUGAAUGGUUGGAAAUUCUGCCUGCACAUCCGGGGACAACCCCUCCCUGCUCCUCUAACAUCUUCUCUGUAUUUGUUCUUCAGACAUGGGAUGGUCUCAAAGGCUAGCAACUACACAUAAACCCAACAAAUUACACUUACGCUCAUAGUAUUACAUAGUUACAAAUUCUUUAUAAUGUGACAUACCUCCAAGGGAGUAACAAAGCUUGGAAAUGUCCAUGCAUCUGUUCCGACGACCCCAUUGAAGUGCCUCAUUGUGUGCUCAAUCUCCUUCAUAUUUACAUCGAAUGAAUAUCUACCCCAAGGAAACCUUUUACAAGCCUCGAGAUCAUCCACAAUCCUCAGGAAUAAAGGGUCAACAGAUGGUGCUCCCUUACCGGUUUUCGUUUUCCCACUAAUUAUAGAGGAUAAGAAGUAGACGACACACAUCUUCAACCGAUCAGGAUUAACUAGUCCUCGCAUCGACUCUAGCUUUUUCUCAACAGCAGCAAGGGAGGGGACGGUUUCCUGGAAAUAUCUAUUCUUAAACGAAGAACUUCCUAUGCUCUCAUAGUCCUCUGGGUACGGGAGACAGUUUAAUCCUCACAAAAUGGCAUGCUCUCUAAGGGAAUAGAAAAUUGGUACGCCAUUCACCACAAACCAAGCUUCCCUAUUCUUAUUUGUGUUUGCUGUCCGAAGAAGAAGCAACCACAUUUCCAUCAUCUUGUGUGUUGUGUCCUCAUGCAUGGCCCUAUGCAUAUGCCAAAAGUGCUUGAACUGUGGGUGUUUUGUAAACCAUAACAGCUCAUGUGGUUCAAGGUCUAGGGACUCCAAUUUAGCAACAGCUUUGUGGAUAUAACAUCUUGUUCCCAGCUUUAUUGAAUUAUGAUACUGACUCGGCUCGAAUAACAUUCUCACGGGUGGCAAUGGCUGAUUCUCCUCCUCCUCAGCCUCAGCCUCAGUUCCCCCUCCACAACACUAUUCUCCUCCUUCAACCAUUUUCUCCUGCGACGAUUCGGAAUCUGAGUAAAGUUCUGGUCUAGCAUAUCUAAACACUCUUUCUUUGCCUAAAUCCAUGACUCCUAUUUUGUAAUUGCCAACCGAAUAGAGAACAUAUAAAUCGAUUUUUGGAUUCUACACAAAACCGACUUGAAAUCUACAAAGUAAUCUAGAUAGAAAUUAGAAAUCAAAGGACGAAGACGAACGAACCUGAUAUAGCGAGGCGUUGAUUUAAGUCAGGCAGCAGCAAAUCACUCGUAGUUGUCCCAGAGAAUACUAGGCGAAGACGACGACGAGAGGACGAUUUUGAAAUUAAAAUUUUUUUUUUUCUCAGACUUACCACAAUUUUGUCUCCAAAUUUUGACCCUAAACCCGAUUUCUUCGGAUUCAACCCGAUAUGACAGACUGAGUGUGGAUCUUCGUGGUUGGGUUAGUAAAUAUGAAACUUUAGUAAGGAUCUGCCAGUAUUUGACCGUUUUUUUCCCUUUUUCUUGCUUUAAAAUAAAUCGAAAACAAAUUAAAUAUUAUGAGGAGGAGAUUUGAGAAUUUCUAUAAUGCGGGAGGAGUACGCGAGAUUAUCUCUCGGUCCCAGAGUGUCUUGCAUUUUUGGAGUGUUCUCAGGUCAUUUGGAGACUUUUGCGAGCAAUUUGGAGCUGGAAUCAUGGAGGAAACCUCACCAGUGUGUAGCAACUUGGACAAGUGCUUUGGAGCUAACAAUAUCUCUACAAGAUCGCCUGAGACGGAGGACCUGGACUGCAAUUCAGCCUCAUGAGUCUAGUUUCCAGAACACUUAGAAUCCGACGAUCUGGGAGAUAACGCAAUCAGAAGGAAUACAUGUCUCGCAAGCAGAUCAGAACUUAUGCAAUGCACCUCAAGUCCGGCAAGACAGAAGCCUUGCCGACGUCAUACUGGCUCGAGCCCUUCACCAAAGUUGGAGCUGAAUACGUCAUCUGGUUCAUAGAUUUGGAAGAUCAAGAUUUGGACCAGCGAGCUGGGAAUUAUGAAGGAGUUGGUGUACGCGGUUUGCAUUCAUACCGAGAAGAAAUACCGACCAUAAUUUGGUCGUUAUGACCUUGAUCCCUUGACGGUUUUGCUUGGAUUUUGGGAGCUCAGAUCCGAAGAAAUGUCGAGAUUCUGCACCAACCCAAUUCUGCUUGGUAUUGAUCCCCUGAAGCUAUUCUUUGUGCCACACCGAGGUGCUACACCGGGAGAAACUUGGUCGGUAUUGGCUUUUAAGAAUUUCUUCACACCACACCGAGGUCCUGCACCAGGCAAAUGUAUCUCGAUAUGACCUUGGUCCAGCACGUCUUUUAGGGCCUUUUUGGGCCAAUACCUAGUUUGUUCUAGGUUGUCCCAUCAAGAUAAUCCUACAUAUAUAUAUAUAUAUAUGGAAAUAUCUGUUAUAGCUAACCUUUAUUCUCUUAGUUUCUUUGCCUCUUUGGGUGAAAACCUUUGUUCUUUGUUAAGAGAUACCUCGUUUUUGAUCAAUUCAGAGUUGUUUCUUAUCAUCUUUUCUUCUUAUCUUUGCUUCUAAUCAUGUUUAACAUCACCUCUUGCAAAAGAUUAGAUAUGUUAAGCUGAUAACACCGUAUUUUGACCACUUUUAUGGAUCGUUUUGAAAUACUUUUUCUAUGUUUUUAAUUAGUUUUAAGUAAUUUAUCACGUUUUUCUAGUAUUUGUAGUUCCAAGACUCUUUUCAGGUAACUUAAGAAAAAACUUAACAAAAUGGAUAGAAAACCAGAUUUCAGCUCAGAGUCAAACCGUUAGACGUUCACCCCUAAUUGAAGGCCUUCUCACCGUCUGAUCCAGCUCAAAUUUGGAGACCUUAAAGAUGGAAGUAUCAGCUUUCCAGCACACUUUACAGCUUGGCAAUCCAACGGUUCAAUCAAAAGAUACGAGAAGAGCAAGAUGUCCCGUAAACCAGCCGGCAAGCAACUCCACCCGCGGCCAACAGGCCAUUUCCCGCGGUCAGAAGCAUCCCGACCGCGGCAAACCACUCAUUCCCCGCGGUCACAGCACUCCCGACCGCGGCAAGACAAUUCCAAGCCCAAAAGCCCAUUUUUGAAGCCCACAAUGAUUCCCUCAUUUGGAGAAACCCUAAGUGACGUCCAGAGAGGUCUUGAGCACUAUAAAUACAUGUCUUAGGAACCCUAAUCGGGGGGAUGCUAUCUUUCUUAUUGUUUUAGAAUACUUUUAAGUUUUAGGUUUUAGGGAGAGAGAGAUUUGUCUCUUGAACCCUUGUUCUUUCUUUUUUGAAUUUCGGUUUCUAUUCUACUUAUUAAUACUAUGUUUUUGAUUUCGUUCAUUAUGUCUGAGUAGUUCUAUUGUUGGGAUUAAGGGAUUUUCGAUGGGGAUUUAUAUUUUCGAUGAGGAUUCCAUGAGCUUUUGAGCCGAAUCUUAGAACUUUUUCUUCUGAAUUCGUUUUUACUGCAUAAGAGUAGCGUCAUGAAUUACAAUCUGAUCUAGAUGCUUGGUGACACGAAAGUGUUCAUCAGGUAUCAGAUCUAGUUUGGGAGAGCAAAACAAACAUAGGAGUGGAAACCUACCUAUGGGCGAUUUGUGAAUGCUGACGAGUCUUAAACAUAAUGCAUUUCUUCUCUUCCAGGGUCAGAGUGGAAACCUACUGGUCAGGGUUGAGAGAGAUAGUUGUCUAUGAUCACGACAGUGGCGUAUUCAUACGUCCGUGACUCCAGUUCGAAAAGUUUAAGCUAAGAUCUUAUCAAUUUACUCUCUAGCAAUGUUUUGAAUCGUUUGUACCCCUGAGAAAACUUCCCUGAACCCCAACGCCUUCUUUCCUAUUGAUUUACACCGUUUUUAUUUCAAGCUUUAGUUCAAUAUUGUCUUUCCUUUUUAGUAGAUUUUCAUUUAAGCAAUUAGAAUAUCCGUUUUACUCGUUUUUAUUCAUUUUUGUUAAGUUUAGUUAUUAGGUUAUUUAAUUCCCGUACUUUCUUUUAAGAUUUCGUUUUUUACAUUUUAAACACACUACCAAACCCCCACAAAACCGUUUUGGUGCUAGACUUCCUUACUUUAUACUUAUUUCAAAGGCUUUUUGCAGGAAAAGAUCCUCCUUCCCUGUGGAUUCGAUCCCUAAGUACUACAAUCGAUCAGCUGUGCACUUGCGGCUAUUGAUUUCAUUUAGCUGUAAAACUUGACAAUCCUCACUCACCACCACAUCAUAAGCAUGAUUAGUGAGUAGUCUUCUUUUAAGCUUCUAGGUGUGUAGAUUAGGGUGCUUAGAUGAUGUUUAGGUUCUAGAUUCUCAUUUCCUUUCCUUAGUUAGCUGCUCUUAAUGCCAGAUUUCCUUGAGAAAGUGAAAUCUGGGUUCAUAGGCAUUUCUCCACCCACAAGGUGUUUGAUGAAAUGCCUGAAUGAGCUAACUUAAGGGUUUAUGUUUUGAAUAAGCAUAAAUGACAUGUUAGAACUGUUUAUUAAUGUAUAGUGAUCAUCAUUACACUAAUGAUUAUUGGAUAUGAAUGCUGAUUUAAUUUUGUGAUGAUUGUCUUGAGAAAGAAAUGAUCUUGCUUUGAGUUCUAAGUUAAUUGGAUUAGAGAUCAUGUGAUGCUUGCUAUAUCUUUCUGUAUAAGAUUCAGUCUAUCUUAGCUCUUAUUUUAAUGCACAAAGAGGCUGUUUGGUCAUAUUAGGCUUAGAAUUUUAUGCUUGUUAAUUGUUUAUUCACUAAUAGGAAUUAGUCUUGAUUAGGUAAUUACCAAAAGGAUUAUUGUCAUGAGAGUGAAUCAAUCUGAUUUAUAAGUCUAGACUAAAGAAUUGCUAGUGUUGCAUUAUUUGCUUAGCAUCAUGAAUUAACAUUUAAAGCAUCCUGAUCAAUGAUGACAUGUAGAGGUUUAGCUUUCUCUUUAUUUGAAUUUGAGUCUUUGUUUAGUUUCUCUUGUUUGCUUUGACUUAAUUACUGCUUGUGUCUUGUUUUGUUAUAUGCUUUUAGAUAAUCUUUGUUACCAAAACAUCUGCUUAUUAGACUUGGAUUAAGAUAGUUCCAUCAUAGUCUUGGUGUCUAGAAUCUCUCCAUUUGGAUUGACCCUCAAGUGCUACAACACAAGAGGUUAAUUGACUUUAGGAAGCUAAAAACCUACUAUCAAUUUGGCGCCGUUGCCAAUUGGAGAGUUUAUUCUAGCAUUAGACUUUGGAUCUUCUUGAGAUCAAGUCAUUUUUAUUUUGUUUUACUGAUCUCCUUGAAAGUUCUGUCUUUCUUUUAGGUGCAUGCAAACUAGAAGUCAAGCAAGAAGAGAAAGAGAAAGGGCUGUGCACAUCGAGAGAUUGGGUAUGGAUAAAGGGCAACAGGCUCAUGGUGGUAAUGAAAACCACCAGAAUCAGCAAGAGCCUCCACCACCACGUCCAAGACAAGUUGUAGGAGCUGGUGAUGAGGCCAAUGCUCAGGGUCAGAGACAUGGGAUUCAAGCUCCUACACCUGAAAACGAUUUUGAGAUCAAGUCUGGCUUGAUCAACAUGG
rnacentral:lncRNA from 1 species